rnacentral:rRNA from 1 species
UGACCACAAGUUCAACGGCCGCGGUAUUUUGACCGUGCAAAGGUAGCGCAAUCACUUGUCUUUUAAAUAGAGACCUGUAUGAAUGGCUAAACGAGGGCUUAACUGUCUCCCUUUUCAGGUCAGUGAAAUUGAUCUACCCGUGCAGAAGCGGGUAUAACAAUACAAGACGAGAAGACCCUUUGGAGCUUAAGGUACAAAACUCAACCACGUCAAGCAACUUAACAAAAAAUAAAAACUUUGUGAAACAUGAGAUUUUACCUUCGGUUGGGGCGACCGCGGAGGAGAAAAAAGCCUCCAAGUGGACCGGGAUAAACUCCUAAAACCAAGAGAAACAUCUCUAAGCCACAGAACAUCUGACCAAACAUGAUCCGGCCACCAGGACCGAUCAACGAACCAAGUUACCCUAGGGAUAACAGCGCAAUCCCCUCCCAGAGUCCAUAUCGACGAGGGGGUUUACGACCUCGAUGUUGGAUCAGGACAUCCUAAUGGUGCAGCCGCUAUUAAGGGUUCGUUUGUUCAACGAUUAAAGUCCUACGUGAUC